UAUAUUUAAGUGUUUGAUGCACUGGGAAUUUUGAUUUCCCAAGGCUUGGUUUAAUCCCAAGAAAUAUAA
rnacentral:tRNA from 1 species